CAGCACCUCAAGUGGUCAGGAUGAUUAUUGGGCCUAAAGCAUCCGUAGCCGGCGCUGUAAGUUUUCGGUUAAAUCUGUACGCUCAACGUACAGGCUGCCGGGAAUACUGCAGCGCUGGGGGGUGGGAGAGGUAGACGGUACUCGGUAGGAAGGGGUAAAAUCCUUUGAUCUAUUGAUGACCACCUGUGGCGAAGGCGGUCUACCAGAACACGUCCGACGGUGAGGGAUGAAAGCUGGGGGAGCAAACCGGAUUAGAUACCCGAGUAGUCC
rnacentral:rRNA from 1 species